GAUGAACGCUAGCGGAAGGCCUAAUACAUGCAAGUCGAACGGUAACAGGGUAGCAAUACCGCUGACGAGUGGCGCACGGGUGAGUAACACGUACACAAUCUGCCUCAUACUGGAGCAUACCCCCAAGAAAUUGGGACUAAUUCUCCAUAAUAUAUCGAAGAGGCAUCUCUUUGAUAUUAAAACUCCGGUGGUAUAAGAUGAGUGUGCGUCUGAUUAGCUAGUUGGUAGGGUAACGGCCUACCAAGGCAACGAUCAGUAACUGGUCUGAGAGGAUGAUCAGUCACACGGACACUGAGACACGGGUCCGACUCCUACGGGAGGCAGCAGUAGGGAAUAUUGGACAAUGGGCGCAAGCCUGAUCCAGCCAUCCCGCGUGAAGGAUUAAGGCCCUCUGGGUUGUAAACUUCUUUUUUGGGGGAAUAAAAACUGGGAUUUAUCCUGGCUUGAAGGUACCCCAAGAAUAAGCACCGGCUAACUCCGUGCCAGCCGCCGCUGUAACAC
rnacentral:rRNA from 1 species